GGGUCACCCUGUCCAGAAAGAAGGUUAUUUUCUUUCUUUUCUGUUUUCCUUAUAAAUCUGUUCUGAAUAAUUAUGAGAAGUCAAUAUUCCUAGAUAUCUACAUCACAUGAACACAAAACAUUCUCACUUUCUUCCUCACUGCAUUUAGAAGUAAAUUAAGAUUUUAUUCCUCCUGUUCUGACGUCAUCAAAUAUUUGUUGGAGAACAAUGCUUAAUCAUUUAACUUAUUUCUGGUGCUAGGCCCCCUUUAUCGGGUACUUCCAUUGGCUGAUAAAUAGUUCUCUCUCAUGAAAUAAGCAUGGAGACAGGCCCACACACAUUCUUGUUGAUUUGAUUAUCUUAUUAAUUCGACAGAGUGCUUAAAUAUUUGAAUUUUCUUUUGCC
rnacentral:misc_RNA from 1 species